rnacentral:rRNA from 1 species
CUGGCUCAGGAUGAACGCUAGCGACAGGCUAACACAUGCAAGUCGAGGGGCAGCAUAAAAGUAGCAAUACUUGGUGGCGACCGGCGCACGGGUGAGUAACGCGUAUGCAACCUACCUAUCAGAGGGGAAUAACCCGGCGAAAGUCGGACUAAUACCGCAUAAAACAGGGGCACCGCAUGGUGAUAUUUGUUAAAGAAAUUCGCUGAUAGAUGGGCAUGCGUUCCAUUAGGUAGUUGGUGAGGUAACGGCUCACCAAGCCGACGAUGGAUAGGGGAACUGAGAGGUUGGUCCCCCACACUGGUACUGAGACACGGACCAGACUCCUACGGGAGGCAGCAGUGAGGAAUAUUGGUCAAUGGGCGGGAGCCUGAACCAGCCAAGUCGCCGUGAAGGAAGAAGGAUCUAUGGUUCGUAAACUUCUUUUGCAGGGGAAUAAAGUGCAGGACGUGUCCUGUUUUGUAUGUACCCUGAGAAUAAGGAUCGGCUAACUCCGUGCCAGCCGCCGC